UACAGAGGUCUCAAGCGUUGUUCGGAUUCAUUGGGCGUAAAGGGUGCGUAGGCGGCGCGGUAAGUCGGGUGUGAAAUCUCGGAGCUUAACUCCGAAACUGCAUUCGAUACUGCCGUGCUUGAGGACUGGAAAGGAGACUGGAAUUUACGGUGUAGCGGUGAAAUGCGUAGAUAUCGAGAGGAACACCUGCGGCGAAGGCGGGUUGCUGGGCCGACACUGACGCUGAUGCGCGAAAGCCAGGGGAGCGAACGGG
rnacentral:rRNA from 1 species